CCUACGGGAGGCAGCAGUAGGGAAUUUUCGUCAAUGGGCGCAAGCCUGAACGAGCGAUGCCGCGUGAGUGAAGAAGGCCUUCGGGUCGUAAAGCUCUGUUGCGGGGGAAAAAAGGCAGCAUCAGGAAAUGGGUGCUGACUGAUGGUGCCCCGCCAGAAAGUCACGGCUAACUACGUGCCAGCAGCCGCGGUAAUACGUAGGUGGCGAGCGUUAUCCGGAAGGAUUGGGCGUAAAGGGUGCGCAGGCGGGCCUGCAAGUCUGGAGUGAAACGCAUGAGCUCAACUCAUGCAUGGCUUUGGAAACGGGAUGACUGGAGAGCGGGAGAGGGCGGUGGAACUCCGUGUGUAGCGGUAAAAUGCGUAGAUAGAUGGAAGAACACCAGUGGCGAAGGCGGCCGCCUGGCCUGUUGCUGACGCUGAGGCACGAAAGCGUGGGGAGCAAAUAGGAUUAGAUACCCUGGUAGUC
rnacentral:rRNA from 1 species